GGGCGUGUGGCGUAGUUGGUAGCGCGUCUGCUUUGCAUGCUGAAGGUCAUCGGUUCGAUUCCGGUCUCGUCCA